GCCUAGGGUAAAAUCGGUGACUGGGGCUAAGUCGUAACAAGGUAGCCGUACCGGAAGGUGCGGCUGGAAUACCUCCUUU
rnacentral:rRNA from 1 species